rnacentral:rRNA from 1 species
AUUGAACGCUGGCGGCAGGCCUAACACAUGCAAGUCGAACGAGUGGCGGACGGGUGAGUAAUGUCUGGGGAACUGCCCGAUGGAGGGGGAUAACUACUGGAAACGGUCGCUAAUACCGCAUACCAUCUGAUGUGCCCAUAUGGGAUUAGCUAGUAGGUGGGGUAACGGCUCACCUAGGCGACGAUCCCUAGCUGGUCUGAGAGGAUGACCAGCCACACGGGAACUGAGACACGGUCCAGACUCCUACGGGAGGCAGCAGUGGGGAAUAUUGCACAAUGGGCGCAAGCCUGAUGCAGCCAUGCCGCGUGUAUGAAGAAGGCCUUCGGGUUGUAAAGUACUUUCAGCGAGGAGGCGUUACUCGCAGAAGAAGCACCGGCUAACUCCGUGCCAGCAGCCGCGGUAAUAC